ACCAGCAGAGUUGUCCUGUGGAUAUAAGGACUUACCAUCAAAAGACAGAAAUCUCUCUCAGGCAUGCACAGCUUUUGAAAAGAAUUCUGCAUCCUGCAAUUACAUGUGAAUUUCACAUUCUAUAGCCCAUCCCUGGCAUUGCCUUGACCUUAACGACUCCAGGAAAAAAAUAGAAAUGCUACUGGUACGAUUUGCAUCUGGAAUUCUAUUAAGAGAUCGGAAAGUACAAAAUGAAGACCUUCUCAAAGGGAAACUAGCGACUGAAUAGAAUGGAAUCUAAUUUAUAAGAAGCUCAAAGAAGGCAGAUCUGAGGGAAGGAGAGAAUUAAAAUCAAUGGGGAUGAUCAAAGAAAUGCAUUCAAAUCCUGAAGGGUUUCACCGCUUCCACUCCCGCUGACUUCAGUGAUAGUUGAAGGCGCUCAGCAUCUCAGAGAUGCCACCACAUUUACUGAGUGAAGAUCAUCCGCAAUCAUGAGAUUCAUGUGUAAAAGCUCUUGGCAUUGUCUUUGUUACAGAUCCUAUUGGUCUUUGGUCUAAGCAGACUGCAUCUCUAUCUUGUCUUUUUUCAUUGGUCACUUUGGUACCCUUCCUGGGUGCAGUUUUUCUGUUUCCCUUCAUGGAAAUGGAGUGUCAUGGCCCAGCCACAGUAGGCCUCCAGGACCAGUGCUUUGGCCUCCCAUACUCGCCAGUAGCUUAAAUACACCUUUCCCAGAGCUCCAGUCUUGUUGGGACUCUGGGUUUAACUGUUCACGUGAUAGUGAAAGCAGACAAAGAAGCUUUAUAAGGGUUCCCAAUAAACAAUCUCUCUUUACUUUAGUUAGCCAAAGAAAUAUACAGUCCUAGACAAAACAAUUAGAUAUCCCUGCCUCAGUUUCCUCACCAGUCUUGAGCGCAGGCUCUACGGAGUACAGGAUACCCCUUCCCGCAUAUGGCUU